rnacentral:miRNA from 1 species
GAGUGUGUGCGUGCGUGUGUGUGUGUGUGUGUGUGUGUGUGUGCUGAGGGUGACACACGGACACACACACACGAGACAC